AUCACUGCUAACCCUGGCCUGGGUUAUUUCAGAGGUUCCUGGGCACACAGUAGUUUUUUGGAGCCCCAGCUCUGGUUGGUGCCUGUGCUGCUGAGCUGCAUCUGUGGCUGUGGAGGGCUCUGUAACAUAGCAGGGAGCUGUGUCCCAUGGAGAGAAGCCCAGCUUGAAGCAAGAGAAAAUGAGGAGCAAGCAGCUCCAGAGAGCUCUUCAAGCCAUCGGGGAAGAUCAGAGCCCAUCCUGCAGGAGCACACUGAUGCAGCUGGCAUUCAAAAGAAGAUCUGCAGGAUUCGUUCUUCUGCUGGAUCCGAAGAACUGACGUCCAUCAGCAAUUUCCAGCUCCCAUUGGAGAUGGGACCAGCUGCACAGCAGAAGGAACCAGCUGGAGCUCCAGGCACAGCUCUAGCUGCUCACAGCUGAGCCUGUGGGAAGCUCCAGGAGCUCCUGCCAUCCCUCUCCCUGGUGGCAUCUCCCUCCCUGCAGCCCUCAGGCCCUGCCCAUCCCCCUUUUUACCUCCCAGCUCACCCCUUCCCUUCG